rnacentral:rRNA from 1 species
UACGUAGGGGGCAAGCGUUGUCCGGAAUCAUUGGGCGUAAAGAGCGCGCAGGCGGUCGUUCAAGUCGAGUGUGAAAGCCCCCGGCUCAACUGGGGAGGGUCACUCGAUACUGAUCGACUCGAAGGCAGAAGAGGGAAGCGGAAUUCCCGGUGUAGUGGUGAAAUGCGUAGAUAUCGGGAGGAACACCAGUGGCGAAGGCGGCUUUCUGGUCUGCUCUUGACGCUGAGGCGCGAAAGCUAGGGUAGCAAACGGG